rnacentral:rRNA from 1 species
CUCCUUUGACGUUAGCGGCGGACGGGUGAGUAACACGUGGGUAACCUACCUAUAAGACUGGGAUAACUUCGGGAAACCGGAGCUAAUACCGGAUAAUAUUUCGAACCGCAUGGUUCGAUAGUGAAAGGUGGUUUUGCUAUCACUUAUAGAUGGACCCGCGCCGUAUUAGCUAGUUGGUAAGGUAACGGCUUACCAAGGCGACGAUACGUAGCCGACCUGAGAGGGUGAUCGGCCACACUGGAACUGAGACACGGUCCAGACUCCUACGGGAGGCAGCAGUAU